rnacentral:rRNA from 1 species
UACGUAGGGGGCAAGCUUUGUCCGGAUUUAUUGGGCGUAAAGCGCGUGUAGGCGGCCAUUCAGGUCCGUUGUGAAAACUCGAGGCUUAACCUCGAGACGUCGAUGGAAACCGUAUGGCUAGAGUCCGGAAGAGGAGAGUGGAAUUCCUGGUGUAGCGGUGAAAUGCGCAGAUAUCAGGAAGAACACCCGUGGCGAAGGCGGCUCUCUGGGACGGUACUGACGCUGAGACGCGAAAGCGUGGGGAGCGAACAGG